AUCUAAGAACAUGUCAAGUCAUCCAUUGAAAGACCCCCGAAGGGAGACCCCCACUCAGGCACUCAAGUCCCGGGACAGCCGCGGACCCAAGAAGACACUGAGACCA
rnacentral:pre_miRNA from 7 species